rnacentral:rRNA from 1 species
GAUGAACGCUGGCGGCGUGCUUAACACAUGCAAGUCGAGCGAGUGAGUUCUUCGGAACGAUCUAGCGGCGGACGGGUGAGUAACACGUGGGCAACCUGCCUCAUAGAGGGGAAUAGCCUCCCGAAAGGGAGAUUAAUACCGCAUAAAAUUAUCGAGUGGCAUCACAUGAUAAUCAAAGGAGUAAUCCGCUACUGAGAUGGGCCCGCGGCGCAUUAGCUAGUUGGUGAGGUAACGGCUCACCAAGGCGACGAUGCGUAGCCGACCUGAGAGGGUGAUCGGCCACAUUGGGACAGAGACACGCGCCAGACUCCUACGGGAGGCAGCAGUGGGGAAUAUUGCACAAUGGGGGAAACCCUGAUGCAGCAACGCCGCGUGAGUGAUGAAGGUCUUCGGAUUGUAAAGCUCUGUCUUUGGGGACGAUAAUGACGGUACCCAAGGAGGAAGCCACGGCUAACUACGUGCCAGCAGCCGCCGUAA